AGGGGAGUAGCUCAAUUGGCAGAGUAGCGGUCUCCAAAACCGUUGGUUGCGGGUUCGAGUCCUGCCUCCCCUGCCA
rnacentral:tRNA from 3 species